GUGAAACUGCGAAUGGCUCAUUAAAUCAGUUAUCGUUUAUUUGAUAGUACCUUACUACAUGGAUACCUGUGGUAAUUCUAGAGCUAAUACAUGCUAAAAACCCCGACUUCAGGAAGGGGUGUAUUUAUUANAUAAAAAACCAACGCCCUUCGGGGCUCCUUGGUGAAUCAUAAUAACUUAACGAAUCGCANGGCCUUGCGCCGGCGAUGGUUCAUUCAAAUUUCUGCCCUAUCAACUUUCGAUGGUAGGAUAGUGGCCUACCAUGGUGGCAACGGUAAAACGGGGGAAUAA
rnacentral:rRNA from 1 species